rnacentral:sRNA from 1 species
GAAUAUAUGGAGCAAUGGCUGUAGCAGGAAGAUUUAUAUGUU